AUUGAACGCUGGCGUCAUGCCUUACACAUGCAAGUCGAACGGCAGCACGGGUGCUUGCACCUGGUGGCGAGUGGCGAACGGGUGAGUAAUACAUCGGAACGUACCUUAUCGUGGGGGAUAACGCAGCGAAAGCUGUGCUAAUACCGCAUACGCCCUGAGGGGGAAAGCGGGGGAUCGAAAGACCUCGCGCGAUUAGAGCGGCCGAUGCCUGAUUAGCUUGUUGGUGGGGUAAAAGCCCACCAAGGCGACGAUCAGUAGCUGGUCUGAGAGGACGAUCAGCCACACUGGGACUGAGACACGGCCCAGACUCCUACGGGAGGCAGCAGUGGGGAAUUUUGGACAAUGGGGGCAACCCUGAUCCAGCAAUGCCGCGUGAGUGAAGAAGGCCUUCGGGUUGUAAAGCUCUUUUGUCAGGGAAGAAACACCGGCUCUAACACAGUCCGGGAAUGACGGUACCGGAAGAAUAAGGACCGGCUAACUACGUGCCAGCCGCCGCCGUAA
rnacentral:rRNA from 1 species